rnacentral:tRNA from 2 species
GCGCUCGUAGCUCAACGGACUAGAGCAUCUGAUUACGGAUCAGAAGGUUGGGGGUUCGAAUCCCUCCGAGCGCACCA